CUGGGAUCCGCCAGUAGCAAAGCUUGUCUCAAAGAUUAAACCCUGCACGUUCGUCAUGCCGCGGUAUAAGGCGAAACCGCAAAUGGCUCAUUAAAUCAGUCACGGUUCAUUGGGUCGUGACGCGUUACUUGAUAAUUGGGGAAUUUAGAGCAAUACAUGCAGCCGAGUUUGACCGCCCCCCGGGUGCGGGGACGAGCGCUUUAUUGAUUCUUCCCAGGGCCGCAUGGGGAGGGCGGAGCGAAGUAAAUUUUCCGAUCGCACGGGUCGACCCGGCGACGCAUCCUUCAAGGUCUGCCUUAUCAACGUCGACGGUGGGGUGGCCUACCGUGGUCGCCACGGGUGAGGAAUCAGGGGUUUGAUUCCGGAGAAGCCCGGAGAAACGGCUACCACAUUCGGAAGGCAGCAGGCACGCAAAACCCAAUCCCGGCUCGGGAGGUAGUGAAUAACGACGCUGGACCUUGAGACCCAGUCGUCGGAAUGAGUACGUCAAACCCUCUAACGAGGACCUACUGGGGGGCAAAUAAUGGGCCCCUGCGGUAAUUUUAGCCCAGUGGCGUAUACUAAAAUUGUGGUUAAAAAACUCGUAGUUGGGUGUCUGCUCUGACGUAGGGGGCUCCCCGGUCCGCCAGGCACCCGGAUUUUGCUCGCCACUGGGGUCGGUUUCACCGGUCGGCCCUCGGUGGUCGGCGGGUUUUCGCUUUGGGAAGAGUGUUCAAGCGGGCUCACCCCGGCUCGAAUAGUAAUGCACGGGACGAUGGCUACUUGAUCUAGGUCCCGGGGGGACGGAGACCGAGGGGUGAUUAAUAGGAGCAGACGGGGCAUUCGUAUUUCCCACGCUAGAGGGAAAUUUUGGGCCGUCGGAAGACGACCCACGCGAAAAUUUGCCAAGAAUGUUUCCCCUUUAAACCCAAAAACGAAAGUCAGAGGGCCCAAAAAAGAUUAAAACCUUUUUUAGUUUUGACCCUAAACGAUGCCCCCCAGCGAUCCGGGGGUACGGUUGUGACCCCCCGGGCAGCUCGUCCGGGAAACCUGAGCAGCCCGGGGGGGUUGCAAAGCUGAAACAAAGGAAUUGAGGGGGGGCACUUUCAGGAGUGGGUUUUACGGCUUAAUUCACCAACACGGAAAACCACCGGGCCCGGGCGUUUUAGUACGAAUUACAAAUUGAUAGCUCUUUAGGGAAUAUGGGAUGGUGGGCAUGGCCGGUUGGCGUGGGGUGACCUGUCUGGUUGAUUCCGAUAAAAGAACGAGAUUUCCGUUCAAAACGACUCUCCCCGUUCGAUGGGGGGCAAGUCUUUUUAGGGACCGGCGGCUUCUUGCCACGAGAGGGCGUUUGGGCUGUGAUGCCCUAAGAUGUCCGGGGCCGCACGUGCGCCAGUAGAGCGGUAACGUGCCGAGGUUUCCUUUUGGGCCGUCGGCCUGGGGAAACCCUUUCAGUCCCCCUCAGUGCUGGGGGUAGGGGGUUGUAACCCCCCCAACGAGGAAUUCCAGGCGCGGGUCAUUAACUCGUGCCGACUAAGUCAUGCCCCUUUUCCACCGCCCGUCGCUGUUCCGAUUGAACGGUGGGGGGGCCCCACCGCAUCCGUCGGCCUCUUGUUGGGUCGAGUGGACUAGCGGGGAAUUUGCCCGAACUUGGCCGCUUAGAGGAGGCAAAAGUCGUAACAAGGUUUCCGUAGGUGAACCUGUGGAAGGAUCAUU